GGUUGCUUGGCAACACAUUUGUUAACUCUCAGGGUUACUCAAAGCUAAUUUUCCCAAGACAUCUUCGUUUGUUCUGUUCAACAGAGGGACCAAAACCUAAAGGUGACAUAUGGAUUUCAUCCCCGAGAGAGACGAGGAGACGAACACAUGGCCACAGUCAGCGCCGCCUGAGCUCAUCGGCCAUCGCUGACCUGAGAGGGGCCAAGGGCAAGAGGGGAUGAGUGAAGAUGCCUGUGACACUGAAGAAACUCACUGAACAGCAUCCAUACGCCAUCAAGUCACUGUAACAUCAGGCAGCAGAUGUUCAGGCAGCACAUCGCACAACAAUCUACCUGAGAGAUGCAGCAUGUGUGCCUUCACACACACACACACACACACACACACAUACACACACACACACACGCACGCACGCAGGGCUCACUCUUAUCUCUGCUGCUGCUGCAUUAAUGCUUCCUCAUGUUCUCCUCCUCUUUCAUCUCAUUGUCUUCCUCCCACCCUCCCCUCGCUGAGAGCGUCACCCAAAAUGAAAAAAGAAAAGUGCUGACUGUGAAACGGAUGACGCAGUAAACACAGCCGCUCAGAAUAUCUAAAUUAAAUGUGGCCUUGUGUAUCAUCUGAAUAAUUCAUAAUGGUAAACUGAAUGCAGCUGCUACUACAGGGCACGAUGAAAACCUCAGAGUUACAGUUACAGUCGGGUAGAUUACUCCGUUCAACUUGCUUAACUGUUGAAUUAUAGUUAAUGAACUACAGUCGGGUAAAAGUACUUAGAGAUGUGGAUUGAAUUAGUUUUGCAAGUGCCGCCUAGCCUACUAAACCACUUCAGAAUUAAUGUGAUACUUCAAUAGAAGGAGCGGCAAAUGUGCAAACAAUCAGUAACCAAUUAACAAUUAACAGAUUAUAGCAGACUCAAUCGUCAUUAACCAUGUAUGCAAAUGGAUUUGAAUACAACAUCAAAGCAGCAAAGAUACAGCAAUGCACACAGUAUACAUAGUUGAUGCAGCAGAGAUACAAACCAACAGUAAUAUGAACGUACAACACAUGACAACUACCUGAUCAAUAUGUUAAUUAAUAACAUCACGUGGGCCAUCACCUGAUUGAAAACCGAGCCGCUAAUGUGACUCAAUAAUCAUGUGUUCAUAAAUUACUUGGCGAUGCAGGAAAACUCAAAUGUUGGAUAUUAGUAUACGUCAUCCGAGGUUUAUGUGCUUUGAAUAGAAAUGUAGCCUAUUUUGUUUUUUAUGUCUGCUUAUAUGUUGUUGUCAUGUUUUUCAAUGGUGUAGAAUUAGACAUUAGAAUAGAUACUGGACAUGUUCUAAAGCAGAGACCACAGCAUCGUUCAAAGCAAUCAACGCGUUUUUAUGGAUAUGUUUAAAUCAUUAACAACAAUUCUUAACUGCGACUCGUUUUACAGUGUGUCACCGGUAAUUUUGAUACUUUUAUGAUAACGACUGAGCUGCUUGGACACUUUUUGAGUUUUGGAUAAAUGUUUUGACAUUUGGUAUCAAAUUUUGCUACUUAAGGAGUUAACCUCUGCGCCAUGCAGCAUGCCUGCUGAGAUCUAAUAAUGCUGGUGAUUGGCUGUCUCAAGGUAUGCAGGAAAAACACUAUAUUAUGGCCACAGUUGGGGCUCAGCAUGCAUAUGUAUAAUGCAAAUUUUUGUGAAAACAGAUUUUAAAAGAUUGGUAUAGAAAAAAGUGUUCGGUCCAGUGUUUUGAUCCUCUGACCUUUCACAUCUGGCACAUCCACAGCACAGCAGGUCAGAGUUUUCAGUUAUCCAGUGAAAAAUCUCAGCAGGUAUCAGGUGACUUGACACAAAAUGUUAUACUUUCCUUAUCAGAUGUUGUGUAAAAGUGCCACCAGGAGCUUGACAUUUGGAUGGGCCACUACCAGGUCAUUUAAGUUUGUCCGUUACUUUUGUUUAUAACCAAACACCUGCAGAACGGCUGACAUUCCCAACGGACUCAGAUGUUCUUUUGAACUCUGACGGUCCAUGUAAACAUUGCACCUGCUGAACAUCAUCGCGUUAGCGUUGUCACUGUGUGCAUGUUGGUAUACUGACGUUAGCAUUUAGCUUGAAGCACCGCUGUGCCCAAAUAGAGCCUGACAGGGCCGAGAGCAUGGCUCAAACCUCUAGUUACAUAAUGUGACAGAAUACAUCUAUGUUGUCUUGUAUUAACGAACACUGCAGACCUGAAAAAAAAACAAAACAUGAAAAGCCACGUUAAUUUCAUGCAUUUCCUUGAUAAAUGCAACUCAAAGCAAAGCUCAGACGCUCUCACUACUGUACUGCUUAUAUAUUAGACAUAUCACCUAUGGCAUGGUGUCAAACAGUGCAAAUUAAAAGCUUUUAAGUGCUUCCUCGUGCUCAUUAGCAUAAGUGGUGAAUGGCAGGGACUGUGGCGGCUCUUUAGAAGACAGAGAUAACCUCCUGGAACGACAAGCCUUGAACUUCACCUCUCGAAGGGAUGUGGGAGCGACGGAGGGAGUGAUCUCAGCUGCUGUUUGAAUGAGGGCACCUGGUGCGGGCCGUUGUUCUAUCAACCCCUCCCACUGAGCCUUUAAAUCUCAUCCACUUCAUGAGAGUCACGUCUUCACUUAGAUAAUGAAUUAUGGAUCCACGCCAGGCUGAUAUUCAAUUUUAGAUGAACUGCAUAUCUUCAUUUGGUGACAGUGCCACCGCUGCCAUAAGAGACAAUCCCUUCUCAGCAGCAUGAGCCCAGAUACAGAGGGAAAGCUCAUUACUAUCUAUAUUCAUGAUGGGGACUUAUGCCGAGUGUGUGCGUGCCUCCUGAUGUUGUGCUCGCGCUGUGUAAGUGCCAUCAUAAACGUGUGUGUGUACUGUUUAUAUACGUGAGCGUUGGCGCUCUGCAGGGGGAUGCGAGAACUGAAGAUUUGCUCGACUCCUGAGCAGGCAGGUUAAUUCUUCAUGGUCUUUCUAAAAGGGGAGAGGAAGAGAGAAGUCACUAUAGUCGCUACAGAAUGCACCCGGCUGUUGUUCCUUCUGCCUGAAUACACAUGAAUGCUCCAGACUGAUCUUUCCCUGCUCUUUCUGCGCUGAAAAAGACUAAGAUGCUGAACACAGACAUGUAUAGUACAUUUAUGAGGACAUGGGCCAGUAGUCUGUCUGAAUGUUCAGUCGAGCGUUCGCGUAUACAGAAAAAAACACCGUGACGACUGGCCUUCUCCUGCCGAGCAGAGCAAGACACUCUACGGUGGAUGUUAGUCUCAGUUCAUUGAAACACACCUAUUGUAAUGGUGCUUGCUUUUGUUUUUACAUUCAGCCCAUUAUUAUUAUUAUUAUUUAUUUUUUUUGCCAAAGUGAUCGGCUAAAAAUAGGCUGGCAUUUUAAAGAUUAAAUGGAUAUUGCAUAACACUAUAUAAGUUGAGCAAAGGUUGAAAUUAAAUGGAAAUAACGUCACAAAUCUUCAAAAUUACAGUAAAUAGAAGAUAGAGCUUGUGUUACUUUGACAUUUUCAGGGGCACACCAUUAAGAGAGGCAGAC